CUUGGGUCUUCCUGCUCUGAAGGAGAAGCUGAUCAGCUCACCACCAGUAAGACGCAUGCGAGCGAUGAAACGGGCCCAUCCAUCUCCUCCAAUCUGCGACAUAUUGCGUCCUUUCUCGACCUCCAUAGUGUACGGCCCCCCAGGAGCCUCAAAUGUCACAGUGUCUCCUGUCAGCUUGUUGAAUUUCAACCUCACAUUGCAUGGGACGAUCUGUGUAAAAUAAGCAAAAUGACACAAUGCAGUAAUGCCAACACUAAAA
rnacentral:rRNA from 1 species